CCCUUGUGGAGGAGGACGCCGAAGGUGGGGCUAAUGACUGGGGUGAAGUCGUAACAAGGUAGCCGUACCGGAAGGUGCGGCUGGAUCACCUCCUAACAGGGAGACAACAAAAUGUUUAAUAUUAUUAUUUUGUCACCUUAGGUCGAUCGGUAUCUCACGUUUUUAAUUUAUUAAGAAUUUCAUUUCCUAAGUUUUUCUAGGUCACACCCAUUUUUUUUCCUGGGCCAUUAGCUCAGGUGGUUAGAGCGCACCCCUGAUAAGGGUGAGGUCCCUGGUUCAAGUCCAGGAUGGCCCAUAUCUCUAUGUUGGGGGUAUAGCUCAGUUGGUAGAGCGCCUGCUUUGCAAGCAGGAUGUCAGCGGUUCGAGUCCGCUUACCUCCACUGAUCACCACCUCUUCCAUAAUCGGUAGAAAGGAAAUUUUUUGAGUUGUGAUCAAAUUCUGAAAGAAUCUAGCUUCCUAAUGAAAUCAUUAAGAUGCUGGACUCAUUGAAUUAAUUUCAUUGUUUUCAGAGAACCUUGACAACUGCAUAGAUUAUUUUUAAAGACAAUAAGCAUCUUUAAUGAUGCAGAUUUAUUAUUUGUGCAAAUGCAUUAAUAACAAUUCUAUUAAGCUGAUGCUUCAAUAUUUGAAGUUAUUGGUCAAGCUACAAAGGGCUCACGGAGGAUACCUAGGCACACAGAGGC
rnacentral:misc_RNA from 1 species